rnacentral:rRNA from 1 species
GGUCAAUACGGGGAGGCGGACUGGGGAGUAGGUAGGGGGCUAUCGUGGGCCGGAAUCAUUGGGCGGAAAGAGCGGGUAGGCGGCCCGGUAAGUCCGCUGUAAAAGUCAAAGGCUCAACCUUGGAAUGUCAGUGGAUACUGCCGGGCUAGAGUCCGGAAGAGGCGAGUGGAACUCCUGGUGUAGCGGUGGAAUGCGCAGAUAUCAGGAAGAACACCGACGGCGAAGGCAGCUCGCUGGGACGGUACUGACGCUGAGACGCGAAAGCGUGGGGAGCGAACAGGAUUAGAUACCCGGGUAGUC